AAACUACAACAGCUUCAAACUGAAGAUAUCAAACAGGAAACCAAGUAGGAAACCUACCAUGCUUGUAGCUCACAUUCACAAAAGUAGGAUGGUUUGGCACUUAAUUUUAUUUUUCUAGCUAAUAUUCACAAAGGUAGAACGGUUCGCCACUAAAUUUCGUGUUGUGCGCAUGCGCUGAAACAAGGGGUAGGAUGGUUUGUCAGGUACGAUGGAUUCCCAGAACACCUGUUUCGUGACAACGUUAGCAUCUAGCUAGCACUACAGAAGAGGAGCUAGCAUAACGGGAGUAACGUUUUUGUCAGAUCAGCUGAUCACAGCCUGUACUGAAGUGUUUUCCCCACCUGAGCCACUACGGAUCCUCCACCUGCUGAAUCCUCUGGAACCCCCGACCGUGCUCAGGUGUGCAGGCAGCGUCCCUCCACCAGGAGAUUCCCACAGAGCUGCUCAGUGUGGGGUGCAGCGUGUCCUUCUGAAAGGGACCUGACAGGUGACCUGGACCUUCAGCUGAUCAUCUGAGUGGAAGGGUGGCCGUCAGGUAUGAAAGUGACACGAUGUGCUGCAUCCUCCUGAGGACACAUUUGUAGACCGAUUACGUCACAGCGACGCGCCGAAGGCUGUCCAAAUUCGUGGACUCCUCCGAAUGC